UACGUAGGGUGCGAGCGUUGUCCGGAAUUACUGGGCGUAAAGAGCUCGUAGGUGGUUUGUCGCGUUGUUCGUGAAAUCUCACGGCUUAACUGUGAGCGUGCGGGCGAUACGGGCAGACUAGAGUGCGGUAGGGGAGACUGGAAUUCCUGGUGUAGCGGUGAAAUGCGCAGAUAUCAGGAGGAACACCGGUGGCGAAGGCGGGUCUCUGGGCCGUAACUGACGCUGAGGAGCGAAAGCGUGGGGAGCGAACAGG
rnacentral:rRNA from 1 species